rnacentral:lncRNA from 1 species
AAGAAUAAGAGGGGACAUGAUUGAAACCUAUAAGAUCAUACACAAUAAAUAUGACCCGGAAACUAGUACUUUCCUAAAACUGAUGUCGAGCACAGAGAAUAGGCACAGUACUAGAACUAAUAGCAGUAAAAUCGUUCAUCAAAGGUUUAAUACUAAUCUUAGGAAAAAUAGUUUUACGGUGAGAAUAUCAAAAACCUGGAACAAACUACCAGAAAAAGUGGUUAAGGCACCGUCUGUUAAUGCCUUUAAAAACAGACUUGACAAUCACUGGAAAAACGAGGAAUUAUAUUAUUCUGAUUACCGCGCAGUUAUAACCGGAAGCAGCAGUAACAGUAAUAAUUACGACAUAAUAUAUGAGUCUGGUGAAGAGGAGCCGUGAGGAUCCUGUACCGGAAAACAUCUUUAAGUAUCUUUAA